UACGAAGGGGGCUAGCGUUGCUCGGAAUCACUGGGCGUAAAGCGCACGUAGGCGGAUUGCUAAGUCAGGGGUGAAAUCCUGGAGCUCAACUCCAGAACUGCCUUUGAUACUGGCGAUCUCGAGUCCGGGAGAGGUGAGUGGAACUGCGAGUGUAGAGGUGAAAUUCGUAGAUAUUCGCAAGAACACCAGUGGCGAAGGCGGCUCACUGGCCCGGUACUGACGCUGAGGUGCGAAAGCGUGGGGAGCGAACCGG
rnacentral:rRNA from 1 species